rnacentral:lncRNA from 1 species
UUAACAACUCAAAUGGCUUUUUUUUUAAUGCUAGGAAAAAUGUUCACCUUUCAAUGGUGACAGUACUGUUAACACAGGUAGAGAGUCAACAAGGUAAAAAGUGAAAGCACAUACAGACACACACAAAUAUAUAAAAUUUGACCAGAAAUCACAGGACAUUUAAGCAAUGUUUUCUUAAGUAGAAACAUCUACCGUCUACAUCACAGUGCACAGAGAGGAUGCAGUCUGCAGACUACCACAGGGGAACAAGAACAGACUCUGCACCCUUCAUAUUGCAUUACAAAAUCAAUGCCGUCUUAGAGGAAUCUUGCCUCCCGUGUCGGUGUCAUAGCUGGCAAGCACCUGAGGGCUAGGAGGCUAUCAGAACUGAGGGUGCUGCUCAGAGUGGAUCAGAACACCAGUUCCUUGAUCUGCCCCUGGCUGAUGCAUUUAGUAAUCACAAUACGACAUUCACUGAGAAUAAACAUAAAAAUGCCACAUUUUGG